rnacentral:rRNA from 1 species
UACGGAGGGGGCUAGCGUUGUUCGGAAUUACUGGGCGUAAAGCGCACGUAGGCGGCUUUGCAAGUUAGAGGUGAAAGCCCGGGGCUCAACUCCGGAAUUGCCUUUAAAACUGCAUCGCUAGAAUUGUGGAGAGGUAAGUGGAAUUCCGAGUGUAGAGGUGAAACUCGUAGAUAUUCGGAAGAACACCAGUGGCGAAGGCGGCUCACUGGCCCGGUACUGACGCUGAGGUGCGAAAGCGUGGGGAGCAAACAGG